UACGGAGGGGGCUAGCGUUGUUCGGAAUUACUGGGCGUAAAGCGUGCGCAGGCGGUUUUGUAAGUCAGUUGUGAAAUCCCCGGGCUCAACCUGGGAACUGCAUCUGUGACUGCAUAGCUAGAGUACGGUAGAGGGGGAUGGAAUUCCGCGUGUAGCAGUGAAAUGCGUAGAUAUGCGGAGGAACACCGAUGGCGAAGGCAAUCCCCUGGACCUGUACUGACGCUCAUGCACGAAAGCGUGGGGAGCAAACAGG
rnacentral:rRNA from 1 species